CAGGAAUGUCUUCAUUGCUGUGAAUGGUUUACUGUACAGUUAGAUCCACGAGCUCUGAAUCAUUCUGGACAGAAACAGGAGGAGAGGAAAGGAGAAGCUCUAAUAGCCAUGCUGUGGGUUUCCAGAGCUUGCUGAAAGACAGUGCUCCCUGCAGAAGUGCUGCAGCAGGGCUGAGAGGUGAGGUACAAACCUUUUCUCAGUGGGGUCUGUUAACAAACCCUCCUCAUCCUGUUCCUCUGCUGAGGGACUAUGGCUCUGCAGCAGGCUGUGGUCCAGGAGAUGGAAGUUCACAGACUUGCCAGUAACAGGUCCUGGGCUGUACCUUCAAAAAAAAAUCCCAAAGCAUGCUGUGAAAUGUGCUCAAAUACCAGUCAGGGGUUGGUCAUCUUGAGCAUUACUCUGCAUUCUGCUUUUUCUUUCUUUCUCCUUUUUCUUACCCUACCUUUUCAGUAACAUCGAUUUUGUACAUCGCUCUCUCCAGUCAGAAACUGCCCUGAGGCAGUGAAAAGGCAAUUGGUAAAGCUUCCCAGAAUACGUUUUCUGAGCUGCCAGCAAUGUCAAGCAAAACUCCAGCAAUUAUGGCAUUGUCGUGCCACGGCUUUAGCACAAAUAUAAAGCAUUUUCUAUGAGACAAUUACAAAUCUACAUUACAGAGCCCUAUGCCCAGUUUUGUACAUCCAUCAAUUUGUAAUGGUAGGAAGUAAUAUUAACUUUUCACAGUUGGUAAGGAAAUACUUGAAAUAUUAAUAUUAAUUAGCAGCUGUUGAGUUCCCAUACUGAAUCUGCAGUUCUGAUUUCAGUGCAGGUAGCUUUCAGGCACAAAUUUCAGUCGGUGAUGGAGCUGGUGGCGCUGGCUGCUCUGGAGAUGGCUAGAUUUCCCUUUAUAGGACAGAGCAUUCAAUGCCAAAACCAAUUGCUGGGCUGAAAUAUUCCACAUUAAGUGUCUGACAUUGUGUCAGUUCUUGGGAAUCUACCCAUAAACUAGCAGCAUUCCCAAAAAAUUAAGCCAGAGUAAAGACGUUUUCAGCAGUGGCUUUCAGAAGGUCUGGCAAGCUUCAUUUGACAUGUGCUUAUUUUGCACAAGGUCAGAGGUGAGGCGGAGAGUUACAGUAUGGGUGAAACGUUCAGCAUCUUACCUGAGAGCUGGGUAGAGAGGAAAGGAGAUGGAGCUCGCAACUAAAUGCAGGAACAGGAACAGGGUGGCCUUAUCCAGCAUCUUCCACCCUUUGGAGUCACCUGGAACGUGGAGCAGUGACUCAGUGGCACAAGUUGCCCAGAGCAGCCUCCCCACCAGCCCGCAUCACUGGACAACAACCUCUAUCGUGCUCCCUGUGACCCCUCCUGCCCAGCUAUGCCCAGAGGAGCCCCCUCUCCACCAAUAUGAGACACCUGUGCAGCUCUCAGCACUUAGGUGAAAGCAGGAUGGACUGCACCACCAGUGUGUGCUGCACACAAACACUGCAGUGUUUUGCAUCCUGAGGCUGGCUGUGUGUCCAGCAUCCCCGACGGGCGGCUCAAAGCAAAGAAUCGCCCAAGGUUGCACAGCACCAGCAGGUGAACUCAAUGCUUUUGUUACUGGAAGCAAGAGAUGGUGGGAGAAUAUUUCUGUUAACAUCAUUCCUCGGUUUUGAUCAAAAGCAAUUGAUCUUUAGCUCAAAGAAGAUUCUUUAAGAAAGCAGAAUGUGGAUGGAGAUCUUUAAAACAUGAAGUUUCCUUGUUCAGCUGUGUUAUUUUACACAAGAAAAGGGCAGAAAGAUGUUUGAUCUCCAUAAAAGAGAAAAGCUCAUGUUUUUAGGGGGGAAGAAAAGAAACUUCCAAAUGUUUAACAAUACUUGCAACAAAAGCAGUUUCCAAGUGGAAAGGAUCUAAUUGGGUUUCUAAUUUCCCCAGUGAACCUUCCAAGCAGUGGAUUUUCUGGAUGAUGGUGGCAGGAAGCAGCUCUGAUGGAAAAUGUCAGCAGUGAGCACUGAUUCAUUGCACAGAUACAGCUGCCCACAUUCAGCUGAGUGCACACUGGACAGCAUGGGGAAGUUUCUCUACGCACUGGUGUGCUGUGUGUGUGUGCAAGGGAGCAUGCUGCUGAGAGAGUAACAGGAGGAGGGGGGGUGUGCUGAGUGGCAGCCAGUCGGCACAGAGGUGCACUAUGAAUUGGGGUUCCUUAGUGCAACCCUUCCUCGUUCUGGACCCUGUUCAGUAGUGCCAACAGCCCCGAUUUGAGCAGAGCUGGGUGCAGGAGGGCACCCUUCCUCCAAACCUGCUCUAAAGGAGGGCUUCACCCCUUGGAUGGCCAAGGAAUGCCCAGAAGCAGCGUAAGAGGUGACUGAGAAACACAGGACUCUUGCUCUGGAUUUCCAUUAGUUUUCUAUCUUUCACUUGAGCUUGGAAAAGCAUGUCCCUCUAGUGCCUCUCUCCCUUAAAUAGCUCAAAUUCCAAAUCAGAAUUACUGAUUACUCUAUAUGUGUUGGAGGGUACCAGGAGACCAUGGCACCAGCAUCUAAAGGACAUGCCAACCAGGAGAUGUAUUCAGUUCCAAGAAAAGCCACUAUGUGAGCUGAGAAGUGAAAUAUCGAUGUAAAUGAGAAGAAAGUCUCACACCAUGUUGUCCACUUCCCUUUUUUUCUUCCUAGGAUGCAGCCUUGACUGCCUGUGCUGGAUUUUCCCCCAGAGCCACUUUUUGUCCCUUUGAGAUUCUUUCUUCUUUCUCUGCUUUUCAUGUGAUUAUUUUGUUUUGUUUCACCUUUCUUCCCAUCUUGCUUUGCCUUUUCUCCCCUUGCUGCCAUCAGCCUCUCAUCCCUUCAGCUUUUUUGGGUAUGUCUGCCUCCUCUGGGAAGGAGCCUAAAGCCUUUCAGCCUCUCCUCACAAGUGCCUGCUGUUUCAGAAAAGAGGAUUUAAGCAUCACCCUGCACAUGGGCAGAUGACAGCUCUGCAAAGCUGUAACACCUUCACAUUCUCCCGAGCACCAUAUUUCAUUUGAAGGGGCUCACUGCCUCACAGCUGGCUCCGUGUUACUGGAACACGCUGUUGCAUUCCUGCUCACACUUCAUUUGGGCACAAACACAGCUUUGCUGAUUGGUGCGUAGCACACAGCUCCAGAUAAGCUGAGCAGCGUGCAAAGUGGUCCUAACUCACCUUGGGAGGCCGAACAUAAGGACAGUAAGAAGUAAC